AGAACUAAAACUAGAGGCUCUCAAGAGCCUGUGUCGCUCACCUGUUAAUGUGUUUACUGAUGUCGGCCAUCUUCGUUGGUAGGCGGGGUCAUUAGACACUUUUUUUUAAAAUAGAUACCCUAGUAUUAUGAUUGUGGCCAAGUUUGGUUAAAUUUGGCCAAGUCGUUUUAGAAAAGAUUUUUAUACAAGUUACAAAAAUGACGAAAAGUUGUUCAAUAUUGGCUAUAAAGGGCAAUAACUGCUUAAGGGGUCCUCUAACAAUUUUGAUCAUGCUGACUUAUUUGUAGAUCUUACUUUGCUGAACAUUAUUGCUGUUUACAGUUUAUCUCUAUCUAUAAUAGUAUUCAAGAUAAUAACCAAAAACUGCAAAAUUUCCUUAAAAUCACCAAUUUUAGGGCAGCAACCCAACAACAGGUUGUCCGAUUCAACUCAAAAUUUGUGAGGGGAUAUAUCUUAUUCUGAUGGACAUUUAAAUCUUGAAAGAUUUGCCCUAAAUGUCUUAGUUUCAAAGAUAUAAAGCAAAAACUGCAUUUUACCACUAUGUUCUAAUUUUAGCCAUGUCGGCCAUUUUGUUUGGCAGGCUGGGUCAUCGGACACAUUUUUAAACUAUAAACCACAAUGAUAAUUGUGGCCAAGUUUGGUUAAAUUUAGCAAAGUAGUUUUGGAGAAGAUUUUUAGAAAAGUUACAAAAAAUG
rnacentral:lncRNA from 1 species